rnacentral:rRNA from 1 species
AGUGAACGCUGGCGGUAGGCCUAACACAUGCAAGUCGAACGGCAGCACAGUAAGAGCUUGCUCUUACGGGUGGCGAGUGGCGGACGGGUGAGGAAUACAUCGGAAUCUACUUUUUCGUGGGGGAUAACGGAGGGAAACUUACGCUAAUACCGCAUACGACCUACGGGUGAAAGCAGGGGAUCUUCGGACCUUGCGCGAUUGAAUGAGCCGAUGUCGGAUUAGCUAGUUGGCGGGGUAAAGGCCCACCAAGGCGACGAUCCGUAGCUGGUCUGAGAGGAUGAUCAGCCACACUGGAACUGAGACACGGUCCAGACUCCUACGGGAGGCAGCAGUGGGGAAUAUUGGACAAUGGGCGCAAGCCUGAUCCAGCCAUGCCGCGUGGGUGAAGAAGGCCUUCGGGUUGUAAAGCCCUUUUGUUGGGAAAGAAAAGCAGCAGGUUAAUACCCCGCUGUUCUGACGGUACCCAAAGAAUAAGCCCCGGCUAACUUCGUG